GCCCUUACGGGAGGCAGCAGCAAGGGAUAUUGCGCCAAUGGGCGAAAGCCUGACGCAGCAACGCCGCGUGCGGGAAGAAGGCCUUCGGGUUGUAAACCGCUUUGAGAGGGGAAGAGGCAGGACGGUACCCUCGGAACAAGUCUCGGCUAACUACGUGCCAGCAGCCGCGGUAAAACGUAGGAGGCGAGCGUUAUCCGGAGUUACUGGGUGUAAAGGGCGUGCAGGCGGCUAGGCAAGUCGUAUGUGAAAGCGCUCAGGCUCAACCGGGCGAGGACAUGCGAGACUGCGUAGCUAGAGGCAGGUAGAGGCGCGUGGAAUUCCGGGUGUAGUGGUGAAAUGCGUAGAGAUCCGGAGGAACACCAGUGGCGAAGGCGGCGCGCUGGGCCUGACCUGACGCUGAGGCGCGAAAGCAUGGGGAGCGAACGGGAUUAGAAACCCCGGUAGUCCAUGCUGUAAACGAUGCGGACUAGGUGUGGCGGCGGAAGCUGCCGUGCCGGAGCGAACGUGGUAAGUCCGCCACCUGGGGAGUACGGCCGCAAGGUUAAAACUCAAAGGAAUUGACGGGGGCCCGCACAAGCAGCGGAGCGUGUGGUUUAAUUCGAGGCUACACGAAGAACCUUACCUGGGCUUGACAUGGCGGUGGUAGCUUCUUGAAAGGGGAGCGACCUUCGGGAGCCGUCACAGGUGCUGCAUGGCUGUCGUCAGCUCGUGUCGUGAGAUGUUCGGUUAAGUCCGGUAACGAGCGCAACCCUCGCCGUCAGUUACAGGUGUCUGGCGGGACUGCCCGUUGAAAGCGGGAGGAAGGUGGGGAUGACGUCAAGUCAGCAUGGCCUUGAUGUCCAGGGCUACACACACGCUACAAUGGCCGGUACAGAGGGUAGCCAACCCGCGAGGGGGAGCCAAUCCACCAAAGCCCGGUCGUAGUUCGGAUUGC
rnacentral:rRNA from 1 species